AUUGAACGCUGGCGGCAGGCUUAACACAUGCAAGUCGAGCGAGCGGCGGACGGGUGAGUAAUGUCUGGGAAACUGCCUGCUGGUGGGGGAUAACUUCUGGAAACGGUCGCUAAUACCGCAUACCAUCAGAUGUGCCCAGGUGGGAUUAGCUAGUGGGUGGGGUAAUGGCUCACCUCGGCGACGAUCCCUAGCUGGUCUGAGAGGAGGACCAGCCACACUGGAACUGAGAAACGGUCCAGACUCCGACGGGAGGCAGCAGUGGGGAAUAUUGCACAAUGGGCGCAAGCCUGAUGCAGCCAUACCGCGUGUGUGAAGAAGGCCUUCGGGUUGUAAAGCACUUUCAGCGAGGAGGCGGUACUCACAGAAGAAGCACCGGCUAACUCCGUGCCAGCAGCCGCGGUAAUAC
rnacentral:rRNA from 1 species